rnacentral:rRNA from 1 species
AUUGAACGCUGGCGGAAUGCUUUACACAUGCAAGUCGAACGGCAGCACGGGGCAACCUGGUGGCGAGUGGCGAACGGGUGAGUAAUACAUCGGAACGUGCCCAAUCGUGGGGGAUAACGUAGCGAAAGUUACGCUAAUACCGCAUACGAUCUACGGAUGAAAGCGGGGGAUCGCAAGACCUCGCGCGAAUGGAGCGGCCGAUGUCAGAUUAGGUAGUUGGUGGGGUAAAGGCUCACCAAGCCAACGAUCUGUAGCUGGUCUGAGAGGACGACCAGCCACACUGGAACUGAGACACGGUCCAGACUCCUACGGGAGGCAGCAGUGGGGAAUUUUGGGACAAUGGGCGCAAGCCUGAUCCAGCCAUUCCGCGUGCAGGAUGAAGGCCUUCGGGUUGUAAACUGCUUUUGUACGGAACGAAACGGUCUGGCCCUAAUACGGCGGGCCGUAAUGACGGUACCGUAAGAAUAAGCACCGGCUAACUACGUGCCAGCAGCCGCGGUAAAGUGU